rnacentral:rRNA from 1 species
AAGCGGCGGACGGGUGCGUAACACGUGGAUAAUCUGCCCUUGAGUGGGGAACAACAGUCCGAAAGGAUUGCUAAUGCCGCAUGUGCCGGCUGGGACCCCGGUCCUGGUCGGAAAAGGGGGCGCCCGCAAGGGGCUCUCGCUCAAGGAUGAGUCCGCGGCCCAUCAGCUUGUUGGCGGGGUAAUGGCCCACCAAGGCUUUGACGGGUAGCUGGUCUGAGAGGAUGACCAGCCACACUGGGACUGAGACACGGCCCAGACUCCUACGGGAGGCAGCAGUGGGGAAUAUUGGGCAAUGGGCGAAAGCCUGACCCAGCCAUGCCGCGUGAGUGAUGAAGGCCUUCGGGUCGUAAAGCUCUGUGGGAAGGGACGAAAAAAACCGACCUAACACGUCGGGGCUUGACGGUACCUUCUUAGCAAGCACCGGCUAACUCCGUGCCAGCAGCCGCGGUAAUACGGAGGGUGCAAACGUUGCUCGGAAUCAUUGGGCGUAAAGCGCACGUAGGCGGUCUGUUAUGUCGGAUGUGAAAGCCUCGGGCUUAACCCGAGAAGGGCAUCCGAAACUGGCGGGCUUGAGUACGGAAGAGGGUCUCGGAAUUCCCGGUGUAGAGGUGAAAUUCGUAGAUAUCGGGAGGAACACCAGUGGCGAAGGCGGAGACCUGGGCCGAUAC